UACGGAGGGUGCUAGCGUUGUUCGGAAUUACUGGGCGUAAAGGGCGCGUAGGCGGCCGUUUGCGUCGGAUGUGAAAGCCCGGGGCUCAACCUCGGAACGGCAUUCGAUACGGGACGGCUGGAGACCGGGAGAGGAGAGUGGAAUAGCCAGUGUAGAGGUGAAAUUCGUAGGUAUUGGCUGGAACACCGGUGGCGAAAGCGGCUCUCUGGCCCGGUUCUGACGCUGAGGCGCGAAAGCUAGGGGAGCAAACGGG
rnacentral:rRNA from 1 species